rnacentral:lncRNA from 1 species
UGGGCCUGUAGUUUGGGCGUUUAGAGGCAUGGCAUUGGUGGUUACCCUCCUGUUCUCAAUUUCGGCAGCCAAGCACUUCAACACCUGGUUGUGGCGCCAGGUGUAUCUUCCCUGGGUUAGGCUGGUCUUGCAGCCCACCAAGAUGUGUUUGAGGGUAGCCGGGGCUGCACACUGGAGACAGGCUGGGUCCUCUCCAUACCAGACAUGCAGGUUGGUUGGAGAGGGCAGGACAUCGUAGGUGGCUCUAAUGAUGAAGCUUAGCCUGUUGGACUCCAUGCUCCACAUAUCGCUCCACGUGAUUUUCUUCCUCUCGACGCCUUCCCACUUCAUCCAGCGGCCUUGCUGAGCUUGGGAGACCGCUGUGGCACACCUGGCUGCUUCCUCCUGGUGGCGCACUUCUUCUACCACCAUGCGGCGCCGUUCAGCUGGAGUCGCCUUUUGCCAUGUCGGUGUUGUUGCUUCCAACCCAAGGCCGCCUCUGCCGUGUUGGACAUGUCCCACUAUAUCCCGGUGUCUGAGAGCAGUCUUUGCCCCCGCGACUGCUGCAGAUGGCUUCCAUUUCCUCCCCGUUGCUAAGGUUGGAGCAGCUCCUCUGACGAAUGGAUCCCGGGAUUCGGUGAGAGUCAUCUCCAGCCUUGAUUUAGCACAUUUGUACUCCUCCACCAGACUUGAGAUUGGUAGGGAGAGUGCUCCGUUGCCAUAUAAGACUAUGCUGCUAAGGCAUCUCGGCAGUCCAAGCCACUUCCUCACUUGUGCGUUCACCAGUCUCUCCAGCCGCUUGGCAUGGGAUAUAGUGACCUCAUAGAUGGAAAUUGGCCACAUGAGACGGGGCAGCAGCCCAAGCUGGAGGCACCACAGUUUCAGCUUUCCAGGCAGAGCUGUGCUGUUGAUCUGCUUGAGGCCAUGGAUGGUAUCUAGUUUGAGUUGCUCCAACUGCUUCGAGUCUUUGAGCUCUGCACUGUACCAGCGGCCAAGGCUUUUGACAGGCUUCUCCAGAACGGUUGGUAUUGGCUCGUUGUUGAUGUGGAACCGCUCAUUGCUGAGCUGGCCUUUGACAAUGGAGAUGCUGCGGGAUUUACUGGGUUUUAUCUCCAUUCGUGCCCAUUUGAUGUUUCCCUGGAGUUUAUCCAGCAGGCGUUUGGUGCAUGCGCUUGUUGUUGUUAUUGUCGUCAUGUCGUCCAUAUACGCUCUGAUAGGAGGAAGACGAAGUCCACUCUCCAGACGUUGCCCUCCAACCACCCACCAGGACGCUCGAAUAAUGAGCUCCAUUGCCAUGGUAAACGCCAGUGGGGAUAUGGUGCAUCCUGCCAUUAUGCCAAUCUCAAGAUGCUGCCAGGCAGUUGUACUAUACUGUGUUGUAACGCAGAACUGGAGAUCCUGGAAAUAAGACUUGACCAGCCUUGUGAUGCCCUCUGGGACUUGGAAGAAAUUGAACGCUGUCCACAACAUCUCAUGAGGCACUGAUCCGAAUGCAUUGGCAAGAUCUAAGAAUACCACAUGCAGGUCCUUCUUCUCCUUCUUGGCCGUCUGUACCUGGUGCCAGAUGACAUUUGUGUGUUCCAGGCAUCCUGAGAAUCCACUUAUCCCUGCUUUCUGCACUGAGGUGUCGACAAAGUUGUUUCUCUGCAAGAAUGCUGAAAGCCUCUGGGCCACAACACUGAAGAAAAUCUUUCCUUCCACAUUCAGAAGACAUAUCUGUCGGAACUGAACGAUGGUUGAGGAAUUCUUCUCUUUGGGAAUCAGGAUCCCUCCCGCCCGUCGCCAAGCCUUUGGUAUAAUUCCUUUUUCCCACGCCACUUUUAUCAGCCUCCAGAGGUACUUCAGGACACCCGGCGCGUUCUUAUAGAACCUAUAUGGAAUGCCCUUGGGCCCAGGGGCUGAGGCUGUUCUUGCCCGCUUUACUGUGCUUUCGACUUCGCUCCAUGUAGGGGGCCUAGUUUCCAUCUGGUGCUCCGGUGGCUGGAUUGGUGGCAUGUCAUCCGGAAUGCUGGCUAGCACAUGCCUCUGGUUGUUGGAGUAGGUCUUCCUCAGGUGCUCCUCUAGUUCCCUUAUGGAUGCUUCGAGGGUCCCAGUUUUCUCCUUGACAAAGAGGUCUUUGGCGAACUUGAAGGGGUCUCUGUAGAAGGCAGUCCUCGUUCGUUCCUUCUUCUUGUGUUGCUUUCUCAAACAUUCUGCUCUUCGCAGUGUUGCAAGACGCUGCUUGAUGUCGCCCUGUAGUGCCUCAAGUCCUUUCCUUCCACUUCUGUGGCCUUCUUCCACCGUUUUCUCAGGGACCUUCUUUCUUUCACAAGUCUGUCGAUCUCUUGUUGUCUCCUGGACUUGAGAUGAGCUGCUGGUUCCUUCUGCCUCCUAGGAUUCUUAUCCUUCACCCCAAAUCUCUCUGCUCCAUAGUUGUAGAUGAUCUCUCCAAUCUUGUCCAGCUUCCUGUCCACGCACCCCUUCAGACCUUCAAGGAGAUGGACAAGGUCUGCAUUGGUGGUUUCCCACUCCUUUUUCAGGCAGGAUUUAGGCCACAGGAUUUGAGGCUUCCGUCCAUUCGCCUUCCUCUCUACUGCCGCCUGUGGCUGGAUGAGCUCUGGACUCAUGUCCGUUGGUGGAUCUGUGCUUGUUUGAGCUUCAUCUGGGGUUCUGAUACCCUGUGACCUGUGGUGAGUGUCCUGCCACUAGGCUUCACUCAACUUAUUUGUCCUACCUCUGAGGAAGUAGUGGUCAAUGCGAGGCCCCUCGCUAAGCUCUCUCAGGCACUUUUUCCUGCCCUGGUGGAUCUUGAGCCCCUUCUCUGAUGUUACCUUUGUCCAGCCACAGAUGCAGCUUUGUAGCUUAUAUCCUGCCCGUGCUGUUGCUCCUUCAACUGCUGUGCUGAUCAUUUGAUUCGUUGUCGUUUCCGCUGCAAGGUUCGUUACCAUGUGGUCAGCCGGUGAGUCAUCUUUCGCCCCCGCUCUCGCAGACUCCAGGGGUGUUUUUCCUUUUGAGCUUUUCGUAGCAAUAGUUGGGUGGAUCCAAGACACUGUGUAGUAAAAGGCUCCUGCCAACAAGGGUAGCUAACCCUUGCCAGCCCCGUUGGGGUCUAUUCCCUCCUGCCAGCAG